AUGCUCCUGAAUCGAGGCCAGCAAUUUGCUGAAGCAGGAGCCUAAAGACAUGUCUUCCUACAGUCUGUUGGUCAUUUCAGAACUAUAGAAAUGUAAUGGCCAAUUCAUUAGAAAGAAACAUCA
rnacentral:snoRNA from 1 species